rnacentral:sRNA from 1 species
CCGCACUGUGGCUGUCACCGAGAGCCAGUUCCUCAUCAAUGGGAAGCCUUUCUAUUUCCACGGCGUCAACAAGCAUGAGGAUGCGGACGUGCGUUGGGGCUCCUGGGUCCUCGUGGGGGCUGCUUCUGGUCACCCUCCACUUUCGCCUUCCCUGUGUCCUGCAGUUGAGGGCAGCUCAAGGCAAUGAGGCAAAUGGCUCCAAAUGGAGAGGGGGCUCAUGGGGUGGCUCUCCAGAGUCCUGGCUCUCGGAGGAAGUGCAGCUUCGACAGGGACAGGGGUCACUUGGCUCUGCUAUCCCCUAGAUCCGAGGGAAGGGCUUCGACUGGCCGCUGCUGGUGAAGGACUUCAACCUGCUUCGCUGGCUUGGUGCCAACGCCUUCCGUACCAGCCACUACCCCUACGCGGAGGAAGUGCUGCAGAUGUGUGACCGCCAUGGGAUUGUGGUCAUCGAUGAGUGUCCCGGCGUGGGCCUGGCGCUGCCGCAGUUCUUCAACAACGUGUCUCUGCAUCACCACAUGC